rnacentral:tRNA from 2 species
GGGGGUAUAGCUCAGUGGUAGAGCAAUUGACUGCAGAUCAAAAGGUCUCUGGUUCAAAUCCAGAUUCCCCCU